CCUACGGGCGGCAGCAGUGGGGAAUAUUGGACAAUGGGGGGAACCCUGAUCCAGCCAUGCCGCGUGUGUGAAGAAGGCCCUCGGGUUGUAAAGCACUUUCAGUGAGGAAGAACGCCUGGUGGUUAAUACCCAUCAGGAAAGACAUCACUCACAGAAGAAGCACCGGCUAACUCCGUGCCAGCAGCCGCGGUAAUACGGAGGGUGCGAGCGUUAAUCGGAAUUACUGGGCGUAAAGGGCGCGUAGGUGGCUUGAUAAGCCGGUUGUGAAAGCCCCGGGCUCAACCUGGGAACGGCAUCCGGAACUGUCAAGCUAGAGUGCAGGAGAGGAAGGUAGAAUUCCCGGUGUAGCGGUGAAAUGCGUAGAGAUCGGGAGGAAUACCAGUGGCGAAGGCGGCCUUCUGGACUGACGCUGACACUGAGGUGCGAAAGCGUGGGUAGCAAACAGGAUUAGAUACCCUGGUAGUC
rnacentral:rRNA from 1 species